rnacentral:rRNA from 1 species
AGAGUUUGAUCCUGGCUCAGGAUGAACGCUGGCGGUAUGCCUAACACAUGCAAGUCGUACGAGAGUUUUUAACUCUAGUGGCGGACGGGUGAGUAACACGUAAGAAUUUACCUUCAGGAGGGGGAUAACAAUUGGAAACAAAUGCUAAUACCCCAUAUGCUUUCGAGUGAAAUGGAUUUAUAUUUAUCCNCCUAAAGAGAAGCUUGCGUCUGAUUAGCUUGUUGGUAAGGUAAAAGCUUACCAAGGCGACGAUCAGUAUCUGGUUUGAGAGGACGAUCAGACACACUGGAACUNAGACNCGGUCCAGACUCCUACGGGAGGCAGCAGUGGGGAAUUUUCCGCAAUGGGCGAAAGCCUGACGGAGCAAUACCGCGUGAGGGAAGACUGCCUAUGGGUUGUAAACCUCUUUUUUCAGGGAGGAACAAAAUGAGCG